GCUGGGUACAGUGGUGCAUGCCUGUAAUCCUAGUAGCUUGAGAGGCUGAGGUAGGAGGAUCACAAGUUCAAAGCCAACCUCAGCACCUCAUCAAGGCCCUGAGCAACCCAGUGAGACCCUGUCUCUA
rnacentral:sRNA from 1 species